AUUGAACGCUGGCGGCAGGCCUAACACAUGCAAGUCGAACGGUAGCACAGAGAGCUUGCUCUCGGGUGACGAGUGGCGGACGGGUGAGUAAUGUCUGGGAAACUGCACGAUGGAGGGGGAUAACUACUGGAAACGGUAGCUAAUACCGCAUAACGUCGCAAGACCAAAGUGGGGGACCUUCGGGCCUCACUCCAUCGGAUGUGCCCAGAUGGGAUUAGCUAGUAGGUGGGGUAAUGGCUCACCUAGGCGACGAUCCCUAGCUGGUCUGAGAGGAUGACCAGCCACACUGGAACUGAGACACGGUCCAGACUCCUACGGGAGGCAGCAGUGGGGAAUAUUGCACAAUGGGCGCAAGCCUGAUGCAGCCAUGCCGCGUGUAUGAAGAAGGCCUUCGGGUUGUAAAGUACUUUCAGCGGGGAGGAAGGCGGUGAAGUUAAUAACUUCACCGAUUGACGUUACCCGCAGAAGAAGCACCGGCUAACUCCGUGCCAGCCGCCGCCGUAA
rnacentral:rRNA from 1 species